UAGCACAGCAGCGCGAGGGAUGACCAGUGCGGGCCUCUUUGAUUCUGAGACCGAAGGCUGGGCCUCGGGCCCUCUCCAUUUGUCGCUUGUUGCCCUCCCUUCAUGAUUCGAUCAAUUAAUUAGGACUUUUCCUACCAGCCGGCAGCUCAGAGCUCCGUGUUCCCAGGCCCCUGAGUUACAGUUCCUGCCUUCAUGAAACUAGAAGUUGAGGUUCUAUUCCUUCGGGACUGUUUCAUUUCUCAGUCCCUCAAACCCUUAGUGGAUGAGCAUGGAGUUAGGACAGUGGUUCUCAACUGCAGCAGUUUUGCCUCCCAGGAGACAGCUGGCAAUGUAUGGAGCAUUUUCAACCUUCUUCUGGGGGAGAGGUGCCAUUGGAAUCUCCAGAUGGUGGAGGGCACAGGUUCACUUGGCAAUGUGGAGCCCAAGAUAACCCGGAGACAGUCUCAACUUCUGAUUUAAUGGAAGCAUUGGUGCUUAGAGGGUCCAGGGCUAACCCAGGGCCACUUUAACGCUGUAGCUGCAGGCUUUGGAAAUCAUCAGCUGACGUGCAUUUGGCCAGAAUACCCAGUCUGCUCUGAAUUCCCACUUUUGCUUAGAUUUUGGCCUGUGAUUUUACCGGUGAGUGAUUUUAUGUUUUAAAGAAUAUUUUUAAUGCCUAUUAAGUAUGUUUCGUUAUCAGUGGGAGGUGCUGUCUGCGUAACAGUGUGCCAUUAAGGAGUGUAACAUUGUUUUCUAAGUUUUUGAAAAAAACUUUUGGUAAAAUACACAAAACAUAUAGAAUUUAUCAUUUUAACCAUGUUAAAGAGGACACUUCAGUAGCAUGAAGUACAUUCAGUUUGUUGUGCAACCAUCCUCACCAUUCACCUGUAGAGUUUUCAUCAUCCCCAACUGAAACUCUAUACCCAGUAAGCAAUAGCUCCCCAUUUCCUCUAAAACCCAGGCCUCUGGCAACCACCAUUCUACUUUCUGUCUCGAUGAAUUUGACUACAGGUACCACGAAGGAGUGGAAUCAUACAGUAUUUCUCCUUUUGUGAUUGGCUUCUUUCUUUUGGCAUAAUGUCUUCAUGUUUCACAUGUGUCUUUCUAAGAGUUUGAAAGUGUUUUUUUCAUAGCUGUGGACCUAGGUUCCCUAGGAUUAAUUUGUAUUUAAGUAUGAGGUGCACAUCUAAAUGUACCCCAAACGGAUAUGCUGUUGUCCCCAUAUAAUGUAUUAAUUGAUCAAUCUUUUCCACACUGAUCUGUAACGCCAUCUGUCAUAUAUCAGAUUGCUGUGUAGAUAGAAGCCUGUUUCUCUGUUUUGCUCUGUUUGUCUAUUAUCUAUCCUUAUACCAGAAGGUAGUCUUAGUUAUUAAGGCUUGCAAGUAAUUCAAUAUUAUCAUUUCAACAUGUAAUCAACUUUAAAAAAUUAUUAUAUUUUUCUAACUUUUAAGUCCAGAGGUACAUGUGCAGUUUGUUAUACAGGUAAACUCAUGUCACAGGGAUUUUUUUAUACAGAUUAUUAAACCAGGUACUAAACACAGUACCCAAUUAGUUAUUUUUUCUGACCCUCUCUCUCCUCCCAUCUACCACCCUCAGGGAGGCUGGGGUGUGUGUUGUUCCCCACUCUGUGUCCAUGUGUUCUUGUCAUUUAGCUCCCACUUAGAAGAGAGCAUGCGGUAUUAUUCCCUCCCCCUAGUAGGUAUGGGUUUUUUUCUAGCCUCAGCUCGUGUCAUCUGGAGCUCCCCACAGGCCUGUGGGUGAAGGUUGAAAGGGGAGAGGUAGUAUGACAGAGUACGCAGGCUGAAGGUGGAAGUCCCCUGCUUUUUCCACCUGUGCCUUUAAGUGCCCUUGGGUUCAGUUUCAGAUGCGUUGUUUCUGCCGGAUUGCUGGGGGUGCUUCAGGUGAAAAUGCUGUGGAUCAGAAAGCACCCACUUUGUGGCACUGCUAGAUCAAGUGGGCUGCUUGUGGUCAUUGGCUUACUGUCUUCUCAGUGCCUAAUAGUUGUCUCAGGAGUUGAAACAUUUAACAUAUCCACUUAGUGAAUAUUGAUUGAGUGCCUAUUAUAUGAUAGCACUGUGGAUUUAGCAGUCAUGCAAAUAGACAAAGUCCCUGAUCUUAUGACAUUUAAAUUCUAGUCUAUUAAAAGGAAAAUACUGUAGUGGUUUUUUUUGUGUUGGAUACAAUGUAUGAUUAUUAAUGGAAUGUGUCCUUUUUUUUUUUUUUGAG